CAUCAUGCCAUGAUGAUGGGUGGGAGUUGAUGCCCAACAUCUGGACGGCAGCCUGUUGAACCACCCUACUUUACCAGAAAAAUCACAUGAUGAAUCCCAUCUCCUGGAGGGUACCACUUAAGAAGGUGCACACACAUCUGUAUACAGGGCUCUCCUCAGACCUUGGCUACUGAUCUGGAAUACUAGUGACCAUGCUGCAGUGUUCAGAAUAUAUAUUUAUACACAGUGGGCUAGGAACUUCUCCAAGGUAAGCCCCA
rnacentral:lncRNA from 1 species